CCUACUUAACCCCUCCCGGCCCGGCGCCGCGCCCGCCCUGCCACCCGGCUGAGCGCUCUGACUCGCCUCCCCUCGCGUGCUCCCGCCCCCGGGCUCCAGGCUGAGUCACCGCCGCCCGCGCCCGUUCCCUCUCUCCGCCCUUCCGGGGCUUCCUGCGGCCUCCCGCUGACGCCCGAGCCGGGGACACCGGGUGACAAGGGUCCUCUCCGAGGGGCGGCCCUGCCGUGCGCUGGGAUCGGGGGCCUCCAGGGCCUGCCCACCACCCACUCGGGCCCGGCUGCUGAACAAAACCCGGUGGUGGCGGAGGAAGCCACCCCUUUCGCGCCAGACUUCCCAACUGCUCCCGGGCGACUCGAUGAAACCUGAGUUUCUGUUAUUGGAUAGCACCCCCCAUGCCCCGUGGGCUUGGCAAAGACAUUCCAGACAGCAGCCUCGUUCCGCCCGCCCACGUGUGUCCCAGGGCAGGGCAGGCACACCAGGAGUUGCUGUCAUUUCUUGGUUCCAGCUCAGUUGGCACAGCCUUUGGAGAAGACAUCUUGGUUUUAUUCCAUCUCUGAGAUGCAAACUGUAGGCUUUCUCUUCUACUUGUGAAUCUCUCAUCAUCUUGCCGUGAGAAGUGCACACAGGAUCUUAGCAUGCGGGAUCUUAGUUUCCUGACCAGGGAUCGAACCCGUGCCCCAUUUGUUAUAUGUGUUCGUAUGCCUACCAAAAAACUGUGAAGGUAACAUUUUCUCUAGGUGGCUAGGUUUGUUUUGUUGUUUUUGCUUGCCUGCAUUUUCUGUCUUUCUGUACUAAACAUAUAUAACCUGUGUAUUAAAGAAAUAUUAAAAGUUCAAAAUAAAAUUAAAAGUUCAGUUCUUGAGGAAAAAAAGUAUAUUAUUAAUAGCCCAGACCUAACAGGAGAUUAUUUGAAGCCAUGUGUGUAUAUCUAAGUCAAUAAAGGAAUGUGGUUAGAAGAGAAAGGAACAGAUUUAGACUUAUCAGCUGUGUUUGGAAUUUUGAAUAACCUGCUAACCCAAGCAUGCUGUUUAGUUCCUUUUUUUUUUUCUCAUUAAUCUCAUGUGUUCAAAAUGGGAAUGUGAGAAAUUCAUUCACUGCAGUAUGACAAUGUGAUGGAUACAGUCAGCAAACUGUAUUAACUAAGGGGAUUUAAACUUCUCAAAUAUCAUCCAACAUCCUGGCAUGGUGGAAACACCAUUGUUUGGUGAGGAAGGUGUUAACUCUAGCCAACAAGCAAUAGUUUGUGAGAAAAUGGAUUUAAAGACUAAACUUCAGCCACUAGAGUUUUAGAAGUGUACCUCUUCUAAAAUCAUGAAAACGGUCUUUGUCUAAGUAACUUUAUGGUAAUG